rnacentral:lncRNA from 1 species
AUUUGAUUGGAAUAUUAUGGUUACCAGUAUCCAGGCUGACCUUCAUAGUAUUGGACCAAUACAGGAUAAUUUCGAAUAAACUUGUGUUUCUAUGAAUUGGACAUUUCAGUUAUUCAGCACUUUUUAACAUAUUAUGGACUAUUGUGAUUUAAGCAUCCAGAAUUAAUUUUAGUUUUUAGUAAUUAACAAUUUUAAUAAUUGGAAAGAAAACAAGACACUUUUUUAGAAAUUAAUCAUCUUCUACUAUCCUUAGGCGCAGAGUCAAUUUUGAAUGGGGGAGGUCCAGGGAGACUGGUAGUGAUUGGGGGAUUAUUUCACUCGGCCCUUGCUCUGGGCCUGACAAGUUCUAAAAUUUGCAGGUUUGGAAAAUGUGGUUAGUGGUAACGGUGGGGGUCUACAGAUGGGUGACUCUGGGACCUCCUCCACCUCAUCUUAUAGAGGGGAGGCCUACACCUGCCAACAGGUGGGGCACUAAUAACUGGAGCAUUGGUAAUACGAGUGUUUUCCCCGGUCACUCCCCAUGGUAGGUGGUGGUGUAACCGUGUUUAACUACCAGGGGUUUUAUGACACUAUGUCAACAUAGGUCAGCUGAUAGCCAUUGUGUAUAGGUAAUCGGUAGUCACCCUGGCGCCUCAACAAAAUAUUUAUAGAAUACUCUGUAGCCAAAGUAAUGCCACAAAGUAAAAAAUGUAUAUUCUAGUCAUGAAAAUGUAAAUACAAGUUGGUGUAAUGAAAUGUAUUUUUUAUUCAAAGGAUUGUUUUUGUAUAAGUAUGAAAUAUAGAGGAUGGAACCUUUACACAAAUGAGUAUAAUAUACAGAAAGUCUAUACAGUAUUUUAAUUUUGGUAUUUGUGAAUUACAAUUAACAACACACAAAGAGAGACAACUCCAGUUUAAUUUUUAACAUAGUUUAGAAAAUACGUCAGCAACUCUUGAUCGUUGUUCUUCGUCUCAUUGUUAUUCGUUCAGUAUUGAUAUAGGGUCUUCUUAUAUGAGUAUUGCAAUUAAUAGAGAUUAUAAAAAUUUUAUAUUUUCAAUAAUCUGGUUUAAUUCAAUCGAAUAUUUGUGUGGGUGCGUGGGUGUUUGCAGUCUGUAGCUCAUUGCCAUAUUCGGCAUGGCCAUAGAUGGCGCUCGCAGCUUGAAUCAGAAUUUUGGAAUUUCCGUAUCAGCUUGAAUUAGAAUUUUGGAAUUCCCGUAUCGGGCACUUGUUAAUUUGCUGUCGACUUGAAAGCAGGUGUUUCACAAAUAAGUUAAACUAUUUAAAACCCGCCCACCCUCCCUAUGAGAAUAGUUGCUGCUGUUUUUGUUUUAUAUUUUCAGGCACUUGUUUGAUGUAUUUGAUUGGAAUAUUAUGGUUACCAGUAUCCAGGCUGACCUUCAUAGUAUUGGACCAAUACAGGAUAAUUUCGAAUAGACUUGUGUUUCUAUGAAUUGGACAUUUCAGUUAUUCAGCACUUUUUAAUAUAUUAUGGACUAUUGUGAUUUAAGCAUCCAGAAUUAAUUUUAGUUUUUAGUAAUUAACAAUUUUAAUAAUUGGAAAGAAAACAAGACACUUUUUAGAAAUUAAUCAUCUUCUACUAUCCUUAGGCGCAGAGUCAAUUUUGAAUGGGGGAGGUCCAGGGAGACUGGUAGUGAUUGGGGGAUUAUUUCACUCGGCCCUUGCUCUGAGCCUGACAAGUUCUAAAAUUUGCAGGUUUUGGAAAAUGUGGUUAGUGGUAACGGUGGGGUCUACAGAUGGGUGACUCUGGAACCUCCUCCACCUCAUCAUAUAGAGUGGAGGCCUACACCUGCCAACAGCUGGGGCACUAAUAACUGGAGCAUUGGUAAUACGAGUGUUUUCCCCGGUCACUCCCCAUGGUAGGUGGUGGUGUAACCGUGUUUAACUACCAGGGGUUUUAUGACACUAUGUCAACAUAGGUCAGCUGAUAGCCAGUGUGUAUAGGUAAUCGGUAGUCACCCUGGCGCCUCAACAAAAUAUUAUAGAAUACUCUGUAGCCAAAGUAAUGCCACAAAGUAAAAAUGUAUAUUCUAGUCAUGAAAAUGUAAAUACAAGUUGGUGUAAUAAAAUGUAUUUU